rnacentral:rRNA from 1 species
GAUGAACGCUAGCGGGAGGCCUAACACAUGCAAGCCGAGCGGUAGAGUUUCUUCGGAAACUUGAGAGCGGCGCACGGGUGCGUAACACGUGUGCAACCUACCUUUAUCUGGGGGAUAGCCUUUCGAAAGGAAGAUUAAUACCCCAUAAUAUAAUGAUUGGCAUCAAUUAUUAUUGAAAACUCCGGUGGAUAGAGAUGGGCACGCGCAAGAUUAGAUAGUUGGUGAGGUAACGGCUCACCAAGUCAAUGAUCUUUAGGGGUCCUGAGAGGGAGAUCCCCCACACUGGUACUGAGACACGGACCAGACUCCUACGGGAGGCAGCAGUGAGGAAUAUUGGACAAUGGGUGAGAGCCUGAUCCAGCCAUCCCGCGUGAAGGAUGACGGUCCUAUGGAUUGUAAACUUCUUUUGUACAGGGAUAAACCUACCCUCGUGAGGGUAGCUGAAGGUACUGUACGAAUAAGCACCGGCUAACUCCGUA